GUAAGAGAUUUUGUUUGUCUUUAUUGAUGCAUAAGUCUUGUCAUGUAGGACAACUUUGUUAGCUUCAUUUGAAAUCUAUAAAAACUUUUUUAGGUUCAUUCGAAAUCUGUAAAAGUUAAGUGUGUAUGCAGAAAAAUAUGAUAUCCAAAGGUGAAUAAUUUGAGAUAAACAUAAGGUGAGAAAUCUAGCUCUAGGUCUAUUUUUCAGAUGCAGGUCUGCAUCAUAAACUGUAUCAGUGAGCAGUAUUUCAGGGAUUAUAUUUGAGAACAGAUGCUAAUUUAUGUGAUUUACAGUUGGGAUUUUCAGUGGAAGAUUCAGAAAGUUUGAUGGAAUGAAAAUAGAGUCUGAAUAGGAGGGGCAUUACUUGCAGAACAAAGAAAAGAAAAGGGAAAAAUUAUUAGCAUUACACCUAAAAUUCCUUAAGCAUAACAUGUAAGAUCUCACUGGCAUCAUAGUUAAUGUUAGAACUGCAUCACUCAAUCCUAAAGAAGUACUACUGCUAGAGAUCCUGGAGAGUAGUUCCCUAAUUGAUUGGUAAAUGGAACGUAUAUUACAUGAAUGAAUGUACAUAUAGAGGUUUCUAUUGUUAUUAAUCCAACUAGAACUUGGGC
rnacentral:misc_RNA from 1 species